GGUCAAGUGAAGAAGCGCAUACGGUGGAUGCCUUGGCAGUCAGAGGCGAUGAAAGACGUGGUAGCCUGCGAAAAGCUUCGGGGAGUCGGCAAACAGACUUUGAUCCGGAGAUGUCUGAAUGGGGGAACCCAGCCAUCAUAAGAUGGUUAUCUUACGCUGAAUACAUAGGCGUAAGAGGCGAACCAGGGGAACUGAAACAUCUAAGUACCCUGAGGAAAAGAAAUCAACCGAGAUUCCCUUAGUAGUGGCGAGCGAACGGGGACUAGCCCUUAAGUGGCUUUGAGAUUAGCGGAACGUUCUGGAAAGUACGGCCAUAGUGGGUGAUAGCCCUGUACGCGAAAAUCUCUUAGUCAUGAAAUCGAGUAGGACGGAGCACGAGAAACUUUGUCUGAAUAUGGGGGGACCAUCCUCCAAGGCUAAAUACUACUGACUGACCGAUAGUGAACUAGUACCGUGAGGGAAAGGCGAAAAGAACCCCGGAGAGGGGAGUGAAAUAGAUCCUGAAACCGUAUGCGUACAAGCAGUGGGAGCCCACUUUGUUGGGUGACUGCGUACCUUUUGUAUAAUGGGUCAGCGACUUAUUUUCAGUGGCGAGCUUAACCGAAUAGGGGAGGCGUAGCGAAAGCGAGUCUUAAUAGGGCGUCUAGUCGCUGGGAAUAGACCCGAAACCGGGCGAUCUAUCCAUGGGCAGGUUGAAGGUUGGGUAACACUAACUGGAGGACCGAACCGACUACCGUUGAAAAGUUAGCGGAUGACCUGUGGAUCGGAGUGAAAGGCUAAUCAAGCUCGGAGAUAGCUGGUUCUCCUCGAAAGCUAUUUAGGUAGCGCCUCAUGUAUCACUGUAGGGGGUAGAGCACUGUUUCGGCUAGGGGGUCAUCCCGACUUACCAAACCGAUGCAAACUCCGAAUACCUACAAGUGCCGAGCAUGGGAGACACACGGCGGGUGCUAACGUCCGUCGUGAAAAGGGAAACAACCCAGACCGUCAGCUAAGGUCCCAAAGUUAUGGUUAAGUGGGAAACGAUGUGGGAAGGCUUAGACAGCUAGGAGGUUGGCUUAGAAGCAGCCACCCUUUAAAGAAAGCGUAAUAGCUCACUAGUCGAGUCGGCCUGCGCGGAAGAUGUAACGGGGCUCAAACCAUACACCGAAGCUACGGGUAUCACGUAAGUGAUGCGGUAGAGGAGCGUUCUGUAAGCCUGUGAAGGUGAGUUGAGAAGCUUGCUGGAGGUAUCAGAAGUGCGAAUGCUGACAUGAGUAACGACAAUGGGUGUGAAAAACACCCACGCCGAAAGACCAAGGUUUCCUGCGCAACGUUAAUCGACGCAGGGUUAGUCGGUCCCUAAGGCGAGGCUGAAAAGCGUAGUCGAUGGAAAACAGGUUAAUAUUCCUGUACUUCUGGUUAUUGCGAUGGAGGGACGGAGAAGGCUAGGCCAGCUUGGCGUUGGUUGUCCAAGUUUAAGGUGGUAGGCUGGAAUCUUAGGUAAAUCCGGGAUUCUAAGGCCGAGAGCUGAUGACGAGCUAACUUUUAGUUAGCGAAGUGGUUGAUGCCAUGCUUCCAAGAAAAGCUUCUAAGCUUCAGGUAACCAGGAACCGUACCCCAAACCGACACAGGUGGUUGGGUAGAGAAUACCAAGGCGCUUGAGAGAACUCGGGUGAAGGAACUAGGCAAAAUGGCACCGUAACUUCGGGAGAAGGUGCGCCGGUGAGGGUGAAGGACUUGCUCCGUAAGCUCAUGCCGGUCGAAGAUACCAGGCCGCUGCGACUGUUUAUUAAAAACACAGCACUCUGCAAACACGAAAGUGGACGUAUAGGGUGUGACGCCUGCCCGGUGCCGGAAGGUUAAUUGAUGGGGUUAGCUAACGCGAAGCUCUUGAUCGAAGCCCCGGUAAACGGCGGCCGUAACUAUAACGGUCCUAAGGUAGCGAAAUUCCUUGUCGGGUAAGUUCCGACCUGCACGAAUGGCGUAACGAUGGCGGCGCUGUCUCCACCCGAGACUCAGUGAAAUUGAAAUCGCUGUGAAGAUGCAGUGUAUCCGCGGCUAGACGGAAAGACCCCGUGAACCUUUACUAUAGCUUUGCACUGGACUUUGAAUUUGCUUGUGUAGGAUAGGUGGGAGGCUUUGAAGCGUGGACGCCAGUCUGCGUGGAGCCAACCUUGAAAUACCACCCUGGCAACUUUGAGGUUCUAACUCAGGUCCGUUAUCCGGAUCGAGGACAGUGUAUGGUGGGUAGUUUGACUGGGGCGGUCUCCUCCUAAAGAGUAACGGAGGAGUACGAAGGUGCGCUCAGACCGGUCGGAAAUCGGUCGUAGAGUAUAAAGGCAAAAGCGCGCUUGACUGCGAGACAGACACGUCGAGCAGGUACGAAAGUAGGUCUUAGUGAUCCGGUGGUUCUGUAUGGAAGGGCCAUCGCUCAACGGAUAAAAGGUACUCCGGGGAUAACAGGCUGAUACCGCCCAAGAGUUCAUAUCGACGGCGGUGUUUGGCACCUCGAUGUCGGCUCAUCACAUCCUGGGGCUGAAGCCGGUCCCAAGGGUAUGGCUGUUCGCCAUUUAAAGUGGUACGCGAGCUGGGUUUAGAACGUCGUGAGACAGUUCGGUCCCUAUCUGCCGUGGACGUUUGAGAUUUGAGAGGGGCUGCUCCUAGUACGAGAGGACCGGAGUGGACGAACCUCUGGUGUUCCGGUUGUCACGCCAGUGGCAUUGCCGGGUAGCUAUGUUCGGAAUAGAUAACCGCUGAAAGCAUCUAAGCGGGAAACUAGCCUCAAGAUGAGAUCUCACUGGGACCUUGAGUCCCCUGAAGGGCCGUCGAAGACUACGACGUUGAUAGGUUGGGUGUGUAAGCGCUGUGAGGCGUUGAGCUAACCAAUACUAAUUGCCCGUGAGGCUUGACCAU
rnacentral:rRNA from 1 species